GUAACGAAGGCGUAAGUCUCCUGGCGGCGUGUCCAAGAAAGGGCAAGAAGAAAGCGAGUUCCGCCUCUUCCUCGGGCGACUGGGUCCUUCCGUUUGAAAGAGGGCGACGUGAGUUCCUUUCAGAGUUUAGACGCUAGGACUGCCACCGAGCCAGACUCGGGUAGACAACUGGGACGCUGACCAGGAAGUUUCUGCGGGAAUUGACUUAGACAAUUGUGGAGGCUGGCUAGAAGACGUCUGAAAUCUGUGGAGCAGUGUGUCAGGAGAAGGAAUCUGGAACUCUCAGGCAUGAGCUGAAGUUGCAAUCCACAGCCAGAAUUUCUUCCUAGUAACCUCAGUUCUGCUCUGAAAACCCUUCAACUAAUUGAAUUGGGCUUGGCCAGAUUAUCUAGAAUAACCUUUAUUUAAAGUCUACUGAUAUUGAACAGUAAUUACAUCUACAAAAUACCUUCAUGGCAGCACACAGAUAAAGAACUUCAGAUCUUUGAGAGUUGGAGUUCAGGCUUGGAACUCAUUCCCGGAAACUAUGUUUGCCGUUGGAUAAGGAAAUGGCAACCCACUCCAGUAUUCUUGCCUGGAGAAUCCCAUGGACGGAGGAGCCUGGUGGGCUACAGUCCACGGGGUCACAAAGAAUCGGACACGACUGAGUGACUUCACUUUCAUGUUUGCCGUUGUGUCUUGUAUUUUGUUAAAGCUAUGGUUUUUCCAGUAGUCAUGCAGAUGUGAGAGUUGGACCAUAGAGAAAGCUGAGCACCAAAGAAGUGAUGCCUUCAAACUGUGGUGCUGGAGAAGACUCUUGAACAGUCCUUUGGACAGCAAAGAGAUCAAAGCAGUCAAUCCUAAAGGAAAUCAGUCCUGAAGAUUCAUUGGAAGGACUUAUGUUGAAGCUCCAGUACGUCAGCCACCUGAUUCAAAGAGCUUAUUUGUUGGAAAAGACCCUGAUGCUGAGAAAUAUUGAAGGCAAAGGAGAAGGGGCAGCACAGGAUGAGACGGUUGGAUGGCGUCACCAGCUCAGUGGACAUGAAUGUGAGCACACUCCGGUAGAUAGUGGCGGACAGAGGAGCCCGGCGUGCUGCAGUCCAUGGGGUUGCAAAGAGUUGGGCACAACUUAGCAGCUGAACAAUAGCAUGGUAGUUGUUGGUUGUACUACAAAACUGAAGACUUUGGUAAUUAUUUCCCACUUAAACUUGUAGCAAGUAUUAAUUUUUCCUAUAAAUCUUCCAUACUAAGAAAAUGCAUAUUUCAAAUCAUGUAUUUGACUGUACUUAGAGCAGCAUGAACAGUGAAGGGAAGCAAAUGGUUUCUUUCAAAGAGCAAAGUUAUAAAUACCAGGACUAAGUGAGCUGAAUUAUGUCCUUUGUCCCGCACCUCUGAGAGAGUGCUCUGUGCGGGAGAAAACAAAUCUCCCUCUUUGUAAAUGCCUUGACUGCCUAUUUGGUCAGCUAAGAUAAGGAAGGGUGGGCUUCCGUGGUGCCUCAGUGGUGAAGAAUCUGCCUGCCAAUGUAGGAGACACAGGUUCAACCCCUGAUCCAGAAAGAUCCCACAUGCUGUGGCGCAAGUAAGUCUAGAACACAACUAAUGAGUCUGUGCACUAGAGCCUGGGAGCCGCAACUACUGAGCCUGAGCCUCAGCUACCAAAGCCUGAGGGCCCUGGAGCCCAUGCUCUGCCACAAGAGAAGCCACCACAGUGAGAGGCCCAUGCACUGUAACUGGAGACUAGCCCCACGAGCUGGAACUAGAGAAAAGCCCAAGCAGCAAAGAAGACCAAGCACAGCCACCACCCUACACACACACACACACACACACACACACACACACACACACACACACACACACACACACACACACUCAGAUAAAAGAGAUAAGGAAAAGCAAGGACUUCAAAGUUUUGUCUGACACACACACACACACACACACACACACACACACACAGAUAAAAGAGAUAAGGAAAAGCAAGGACUUCAAAGUUUUGUCUGAUCUUUAGGUAGAUAGAUGGUGAAAUAGAGGUAAAUGACUAUAACAUGAAAUGGUUGCCAUUAUGAUCCUUUCUUCUGUACAAAGAGGCCUCUGGGCAUGAUUAGGAAACUGGAGAAUAAAAAGUGAGACAUGGAAACCACUCUGCAAAAGCAAUAUAAAGUACUACACCUAUUAUGGCCAGGAAUUUACAUAAAAUGUGCUUUAUUUAGAAAAUGUUUCUCCUUAAUAUGAGUUGAUUCAUUCAUUUAACAAAUAUUAUAGAUCACCUGUUAUGUACUCAGUAUAGUUUACCUCCUGGAGUUUGUAGUGUUAAAACAAGGUGCCUGUCUUCACACAGUUUACUUUCUGGUGGGAAGACACUAGAAGUAUAAUUUAUAUUUUAAAAGUAUAUAGUGUAAUUUCAGCUAAUAACAAGUACUAUGAGACUCCAAUACUUUGGCCACAUGAUAUAAAGUGCUGACUCAUUUGAAAAGACCCUGAUGCUGGGAAGGAUUGAGGGCAGGAUGAGAAAGGGAUGACAGAGGAUGUGAUGGUUGGAUGGCAUCACUGACUCAAUGGACAUGAGUUUGGGUGAACUCUGGGAGUUGGUGACGGAUAGGGAGGCCUGGCUUGCUGCAGUUCAUGGGGUUGCAAAGAGUUGGACGUGACUGAACUGAACUGAACUGAUGCAGGGUGAACAUGCAUUCACAGUAAUGAGGGAGUGAACCAUGGCAGAAAGAGUCCUUAUCCAUCAUGCUGGGAAGUCAGUGUCUAAAAUUUUAAAAAUAGCUAUUUAAGAACAUUGUUUAAAGAUAUGGCUGUAAAUUCGAGUAAACAAGAAUUGAGGACAUUUGCCUAGUGAACAACACUGGGAGCAGAGCAGGGAACUACUCUUUUAAUUGUAAAAGAGUUUUAGUACUAUUUUUUGUUUUAGUACUAUUCUUUUUUUAAAAAUUAUAGUUGAUUUGCAAUGUUCUAGGUGUAUAAUAAAGUGAUUCAAUUAUAUAUAUACAAUAUAUACAUAUUAUAUAUAGCACAUAUUCUUUUUCAGAUUCUUUUCCAUAUAGGUUAUUACAAGAUAUUGAAUAUAGUUCUCUGUGCUAUACAGUGGGUCCUUUCUGUUUAUAGAUAAAUUUUACAUGUAAUCAUGUAUAUCUGUUAAUCCUAGUUUAUCCCUCUCCUCUUCUUCCCUUGGUAAACAUAAGUUUGUUUUCAAUGUCUGUGAGUAUAUUUCUGUUUUGUAAAUAAGUUCAUCAGUAUCAUUUUUUUAGACUGUACAUAUAAAUAAUAUCAUGUAUUUAGCUUUCUCUGACUUACUUCAGUUGGUAUGAUAAUCUCUAGGUCCACGUGUAUUGCUGCAAAUGGCAUUAUUUCAUUCUUUUUUAUGGCGGUACAAUGUCUUUUUAAAACUAUAGACUUGUAUUACUUUGGGAAAGUGUAUGUACUGUUAACAAAAAACCUUCUUUGCUUCCAUGCUUCCUUUUACCUACAAAUAAGCCUUAAAUCCCAGAGCAUGCUUUUUAAAAUCAAGCUCCAUCUACCUUCUGAUUUCAUUUACCACCCCUUUCUCCUCAGCCUUACACAUCCUGCACUCUAGUCACUAACUCCUUUAAGAGCAUGUAUGGAGCACCUACUGUGAGCAAGUGGGUAUAAAAAGAUGAAUAUGAUACCUUAUUCAUCCUCACUGCACUGUCUAAUGAUAGAAACAGAUGCAUAAAAAAUAAACUCACUUCAGUGAAUUUGAUGUGUGAAUGAAAGUAUAGACAGUGACCUAUUCUAUGAGAAUCUAAGAGAAGUAGCAACAACUUGCCCAAGUUUGUGCCUCAUUCAUAGCUUCAUGCUCUUGGUGAUGGUUGUUUGUAUGUUUGGGCCCUUUGUGACCAUAUGGAAGGACAUCAUGUAACUCUCUCCUACAGUUCCUACCCAACCAUCCCUCCCAGAAAAAAAGGCUUUUUCUUCCUUGCUCCCCAACCACUUUGCCCUUAACACUCUGAUUCUGUUUCACUCAGAAAGUAUCAUAAGAUAAUAACUAAAAACUCCAAUGCUGGGAGUCGAAGACUCUAGCACUUGCUAGAUACAUGACAGAACAGGUGACACAUCCAUUUAACAUCCACUUGCUUCAUUUCUUAGACAAGAAAGUAAGAAGUAAGGCAACUGACAUAAUAUGUUUGUGUUGAGCAUUACAUGAGAUAACACAUUUUACAACACACACACACAUGCUUAGAACAUAGUAUUUAUUAUGGUCAUGUCAGUCUUCCCUAUUGGAUACAGGGAUUGUGUUUAAUUUGACUUUUGUCACCAGUGUCUAGUCCAGAGCUUGACACUUGGCCAGGUACAUGUUUGCUAUGAUGAUACAGGAAUAAAAGAAGGUACUUGCAGAUUUGAUGGAGACUAUGGAAACUCAACAUUCAGAAAACUAAGAUCAUGGCAUCCAGUCCCAUCACUUCAUGGGAAAUAGAUGGGGAGACAGUGGAAACAUUGUCAGACUUUAUUUUUUUGGCUCCAAAAUCACUGCAGAUGGUGAUUGCAGCCAUGAAAUUAAAAGACCCUUACUCUUUGGAAGGAAAGUUAUGACCAACCUAGACAGCAUAUUAAAAAGCAGAGACGUUACUUUGCCAACAAAGGUCCAUUUAGUCAAGGCUAUGGUUUUUCCAGUAGUCAUGUAUGGAUGUGAGAGUUGGACUGUGAAGAAAGCUGAGUGCUGAAAAAUUGAUGCUUUUGAACUAUGGUGUUGGAGAAGACUCUUGAGAGUCCCUUGGACUGCAAGGAGAUCCAACCAGUCCAUCCUAAAGGAGAUCAGUCCUGGGUGUUCAUUGGAAGGACUGAUGCUGAAGCUGAAACUCGAAUACUUUGGCCACCUCAUGCAAAGAGUUGACUCAUUGGAAAAGACCCUGAUGCUGGGAGGGAGGGGGCAGGAGGAGAAGGGGACGACAGAGGAUGAGAUGGCUGGAUGGCAUCACUGACUCGAUGGACAUGUGUUUGAGUAAACUCUGGGAGUUGGUGAUGGACAGGGACGCCUGGCAUGCUGCGAUUCAUGGGGUCGCCAAGAGUCGGACACGACUGAGCGACUGAACUGAACUGAAUGGAAACUAAACUGGGUUUAAAAUAUGAGUAAUAUCCAGCUAGGCAGUGAGAUUAGCCAGUACAAAAAAUCUGUCAUUGGGAGAGAGCAUGUGGAAGCCUGUAUGAAGAGAGAGGGUAUGAAUUCAUGGGAGAUAAGGUUGGUAAGUGGGAUAAAGUUGUGAGCAUAAACACAAACAAAGGUGCUUAUACCUGAGCUGGUAAACAGAGAUUCUGCGGGUUCUUGAGCAAGAGUAAUAGAACACUACCAAUACCCGAGGAACCUUGGUAUAUAAGUCAGCAAGAGGCAAAACUGAAUUCCUGGCCUAUUUUCUUUUCACGCUCUCACCCAUAGCAGUCACCACACUUGGCAUGGAGCUUGCUGAAGUGAAAAGAGAAGUGAAGAGCUUGCUGAGAUGCUCUUAAUCUGAGAAGUUAAGGUCUCAUGUCCUUGUUUUAUCGGCCUGGGCAUUAGAGUCUGGUACGGUGAUCUCCAAGGUUUCAUCUGACAUCCCUCAGUUUCUCCAAAAUUGACUGGCACGAGAAUCUUUAUCUCAGACUCUACUUCUUGAUAACCUGACCUGAGAUAAUAAAGCAUUUGAUGUUAAAACAGUCAUGCAAAGAAGACAAGACCAAAAGAUCAAUAGUAAAAGCAAAAACAAUAACCAAAUGGAAGGACUAGGUUUUUCCUCCUCUCAGGACAACCUCUUCUUACCCAAAACAUGUGAUAAAAAUGACAGUUUUUUAAGUGAGACCUAACAAGUCAGCCAAAAGAAUUAGAAACUCAAAGGAAGACUAUUUGGGAUAAGACUGUACCAACUUCCAAUGCAGGGGAUAUGUGUCCAGUCCCUGGUCCGGGAAGAUUACAUGUACUGUGGAGCAACUAAGCCUGUACACCACAGCUACUGAGCCUGUGCUCCAGAGCCUACGCAUCUCAACUACUGAGCCUACGCAUCUCAACUACUGAGCCUACACUGCAGAGCUACUGAAACCCGUGCACCUAGAGCCUGAGCUUAACAAGAGAAGCCGCUGCAAUGAGAAGUCCAUGCACUGCAGUGAAGAAUAGCCUCUGCUUGCCACAACUAGAGAAAGCCCACACUCAGCAGUGAAUACCCAGUGCAAACAACAACAAAAAAAUAAUAAUUAAAAACAAGAGAAAGACUAUUUGAAAUACAGAUUUCUAUCCACUUUUUUAGCAAAUGAAUCUUGCCUUAGUGGCUGUAAUGGAUUGAGGUAUUAGCUGAUGGUAAUAUAAAAACAGUAUUCGUACAUCCAGAAUAUGAAGCUAAAUCUCAACAAUCUUUGGAAUGAUAUUUAAAAUUAUGUGACAUGUAAUACUUUAUACAAUUGCACUAAACUAAGUGGUAAAUGUUUAGAUCUCUAAGUUUUCUUACUUCUGAGGUUUCUUACUUAAAAAUGGAAGACAAUACAAGACAAAAAUACCAGUAACUGGAGAAAUAUAUCUUUCCUGCAACAGUUAAAAUAGCUAAAAUAAAAAAAUUUUUAAAAGACAAAUACAGGUGGGAGGGGGGAUCAGGAUGGGGAACACAUGUAAAUCCAUGGCUGAUUCAUGUCAAUGUAUGGCAAAAACCACUACAAUAUUGUAAAGUAAUUAGCCUCCAACUAGUAAAAAUAAAUGAAAAAAAAAAAAGACAAAUAUAUUAUUCAGAUAACAUAUACUAAAGUGUAUAUGUAUAGAAAACAUUGUGCAGAGUUGAAGAUUCAAGUAUUGAAACAAAUUAUGCAGUGUGGGGGGCUCUGGUUCAUUUGGAUGAAAGUGUUUCUCAUUUGUUUCAGCUUAUGGUGUUUGUUAAAUUCUGAGUUAAGGAUGAAAUAUAGGAAGAACUAUUUCUCUUCAGCCAUUAAAAGAUAUUCCAGAGAGGUUAUGUUUUCAAUAAUAAAUGACUUUGCUAAUAAAACAAUUUUACAUGGGAAAACAAAACUGAUUUUCUUAGUGGAGCAACUGAUUUCACCAGGAUAAAUUAAUUCUCUGGAACCUGGUUACGGUGCUAAUAGACACAUGUGAAAUCAAAUCAUUGGAUUCUUCAUUGAUAAGUUACAACGACAGGGAAGUUGGCGCCAGACUGUAUGAACUUCUAUAGGAUAUCAUCUAUUUUAAUAAAAAAUACAUAAAAAUUUCAGUGUAAGAUCUCUACAGUAUUUUUUAAUUAUCUGUAGAGUGAGCAUAAGAAAAUUGAAUACAACAGAGACAAAGUGGCCAAAGUGAAGAUGAGUUUCACAUUUUUCUUUUACUAAAAGGAAAGUUUCGAAUUUCCUGUCCCUGUGCUGACAAGUGACUCUGUGUAAAAUGCAAUGUUGGCAGAUAUUUUGGGGAACAGAAAAAAGGAACACUUUAUCUGUUCUUUCAAGGUAACAGUGACCUUUUAACAAUGAAUGGGAAAGUAACUGCUUAUCAAAAACAAGUACAGUUUGAAAACAUGUUUGGCAAUGCUUCUAUCAUCCUCUGACUUUAUUGCUGAAAAGAUUUGUUUGUCAUCUAUAAAAAUUCAAGUAUGCUGAUACUGGGAAACAGAACUGUCAAACUUGUUUGAAAAUUUUCCAAAUGAAGAGUGACAGUAGAUACUUAAUCCAUAUGUCAGAUACAAAUAUACAUCUGACUGACAUUAGGGAAGAUAGAUAUUUCUAGUGGAAUUUCAACAAAAACCUUUUCAUAAUUAGGAUGUAUGUGAGAAAAAAUGAGAAUCCUGAUUUUGUACCACUUCCUUUUAAAUCUUAGUACCUUUUUGAGGUAUGUUUUUUAUACAUUCAGUUCAGUUCAGUCACUUAGUCGUGUCCAAGUCUUUGCGACCCCAUGGACUGCAGCACACCAGGCCUCCCUGUCCAUCACCAGCUCCCAAGAGUUUUACCCAAACUCAAGUUUGAGCUUCCCUGGUGGCUCAGACGGUAAAGUGUCUGCCUGCAAUGCAGGAGACCUGGGUUCAAUCCCUGGGUCAGGAGGAUCCCCUGGAGAAGGAAAUGGCAACCCACUGCAGUACUCUCGCCUGGAAAAUCCCAUGGAUGGAGGAGCCUGAUAGGUUACAGUCCAUUGGGUCACAAAGAUCCUGGUAGGCUACAGUCCAUGGGGUCUCAAAGAGUCAGACUUGACUGAACGACUUCACUUUCUUUCUUUCUUUUCUUUCAUGUCCAUUGAGUCAGUGAUGCCAUCCAACCAUCUCAUCCUCUGUUGUCCCCUUCUCCUCCUGCCCUCAAUGUUUCCCAACAUCAGGGUCUUAUU